GGCUAUUCCUGAGUGUGGCAAGUGCGCACCGUGGAACUGCGGCUUAAAAGAAAAAGUGAAAACAGUCCUUACACAAAUGAUCAAUAGUUGUUACUGUAUUGUCAUUUUCAGCUGCACAGUUAGUACUGUAAGCCCCAACCUGCAACCAGUUAACAGUGGAGUAGCUUCUCUUUCGUGUGAGUGUGUGUCAGACGACAAACAACUAGAGCUCUUUUUCGGUGUCUUUUCUAUCGCUUCACACUCUGUUGGUAGAGGAUAUGUACACAGGUCCCCUGUGGCUGCGACCUCCCCAGUGGCUGCGACCUCCCCAGUGGCUGCGACCUCCCCAGUGGCUGCGACCUCCCCAGUGGCUGCGACCUCCCCAGUGGCUGCGACCUCCCCAGUGGCUGCGAUCUCCCCAGUGGCUGCGAUCUCCCCAGUGGCUGCGAUCUCCCCCUGUGCUGUGCUGUCCUUGUUAGGGUCCACUCCAGUGGGUUCCGCUCCGCUGGUGCCAAAUUCGUUCAUCCGGUUGGGAUCCACCCUGUAGAUCCAGCGCUGGUACAGAUGAAAUCUCGCGUCUUGUGACGGCCGGCCGCCCAACAACCUGCCCGCUU